AUGCAAUGAUGAAGAUCUUGAUCUGAAACCUAAAUGUAGAGUCAAUUGAGCUUUUUAACCCUGAGCAUU
rnacentral:snoRNA from 1 species